rnacentral:rRNA from 1 species
UACGUAGGGUGCAAGCGUUGUCCGGAAUUAUUGGGCGUAAAGAGCUCGUAGGCGGUUUGUCGCGUCGGCUGUGAAAACUCGGGGCUCAACCCCGAGCCUGCAGUCGAUACGGGCAGACUAGAGUGCUGUAGGGGAGACUGGAAUUCCUGGUGUAGCGGUGAAAUGCGCAGAUAUCGGGAGGAACACCAAUGGCGAAGGCGGCUCUCUGGGACGGUACUGACGCUGAGACGCGAAAGCGUGGGGAGCGAACAGG